rnacentral:lncRNA from 1 species
GUGUGUCUGCAGAAGGCUCGCCCCAGUAAACCCGCAUGCAGUCCUCCAGUGCAGAGUCGCUUUCCAGGAACCCAUCUAAGGUUCUAGUCACAGACAGAGCCCAGUCUCAACACUGAGUGAGACCCAAGGCAGGCCACUCCAAGAUCCCUCUCUGUGGCGGACACUGGGCUGGGCGCUGGCAAGACAGACCUAAAAGUGACAGAGGUGCUCGAGUCAAGAGGCCUCCCUGAGACUCUGUGCCCCCAGGGGGAAGGAGGCCCAACAGGUCCGGUGGCUUUUACUGUGGAGAGCAUCAGAGCCUGGAGAAAUUCACCUUUAGAGGGAAACAAACCAUCAUGAAAUGCACCCCCCUCCCCCCCACUCAGGGCCCCUC